AAUUCUGAAGACCAGGUUCAGAUUCACACCUAUUUCAAGCCCCCGAGUUGCCCUCGGACCAUCCAGGUGUCUGAUUUUGUGAGGUACCACUACAACGGGACGUUCCUGGACGGAACUCUGUUUGAUUCGAGUCACAAUCGCAUGAAAACAUAUGACACGUAUGUGGGAAUUGGCUGGCUGAUUCCUGGAAUGGAUAAAGGGCUGCUGGGGAUGUGUGUGGGUGAGAAGCGCAUCAUCACCAUUCCUCCUUUUCUGGCCUAUGGAGAGGAUGGAGAUGGGAAAGACAUUCCCGGUCAGGCAUCUCUGGUGUUUGAUGUUGCAUUAUUGGACCUCCAUAACCCCAAGGACAGCAUUUCCAUUGAGAACAAGGUAGUACCUGAAAACUGUGAGCGGAUAAGUCAAAGUGGGGACUUUCUCAGGUAUCAUUACAAUGGCACGCUUCUGGAUGGCACCCUCUUUGAUUCCAGCUACUCUCGGAACCGCACGUUUGACACGUACAUUGGGCAGGGCUACGUGAUUCCUGGGAUGGAUGAAGGUCUACUUGGUGUUUGCAUUGGAGAAAAGCGAAGGAUUGUGGUCCCCCCUCACCUGGGGUAUGGAGAGGAAGGAAGAGGACGGAGUCUCACUCUGUUGCCCACGCUAGAGUACAGUGGUGCAAUCCUAACUCACUGUAGCCUUGACCUCCUGGCCUCAAGCAAUCCUC
rnacentral:sRNA from 1 species